rnacentral:rRNA from 1 species
UACGUAGGGUGCAAGCGUUGUCCGGAAUUAUUGGGCGUAAAGAGCUCGUAGGCGGUUUGUCGCGUCGGCCGUGAAAACUUGGGGCUUAACUCCAAGCUUGCGGUCGAUACGGGCAGACUUGAGUUCGGCAGGGGAGACUGGAAUUCCUGGUGUAGCGGUGAAAUGCGCAGAUAUCAGGAGGAACACCGGUGGCGAAGGCGGGUCUCUGGGCCGAUACUGACGCUGAGGAGCGAAAGCGUGGGGAGCGAACAGG